rnacentral:rRNA from 1 species
CACGUAGGGCGCAAGCGUUUGUCCGGAAUUAUUGGGCGUAAAGAGCUCGUAGGCGGUCUGUUGCGUCCGCUGUGAAAACUCGGGGCUUAACCCCGAGCCUGCAGUGGAUACGGGCAGACUAGAGGUAGGUAGGGGAGAAUGGAAUUCCCGGUGUAGUGGUGAAAUGCGUAGAUAUCGGGAGGAACACCAGUGGCGAAGGCGACUUCCUGGCCUGUUCUUGACGCUGAGGCGCGACAGCGUGGGGAGCAAACAGG